GACGAACGCUGGCGGCGUGCUUAACACAUGCGAGUCGAACGGAAAGGCCCUGCUUUUGUGGGGUGCUCGAGUGGCGAACGGGUGAGUAACACGUGAGUAACCUGCCCUUGACUUUGGGAUAACUUCAGGAAACUGGGGCUAAUACCGGAUAGGAGCUCCUGCUGCAUGGUGGGGGUUGGAAAGUUUCGGCGGUUGGGGAUGGACUCGCGGCUUAUCAGCUUGUUGGUGGGGUAGUGGCUUACCAAGGCUUUGACGGGUAGCCGGCCUGGGAGGUGACCGGCCACAUUGGGACUGAGAUACGGCCCAGACUCCUACGGGAGGCAGCAGUGGGGAAUAUUGCACAAUGGGCGGAAGCCUGAUGCAGCAACGCCGCGUGCGGGAUGACGGCCUUCGGGUUGUAAACCGCUUUCGCCUGUGACGAAGCGUGAGUGACGGUAAUGGGUAAAGAAGCACCGGCUAACUACGUG
rnacentral:rRNA from 1 species